GAGACAUGAAGACUACCCCAGACCUGAUCCUAGCCUGCUGGAAAACUUGCAAGCCAAGUGGAUGACCUAAGGAUAAAUGAAAACAUCACUUCUGGAAUGAAAGUAAAAGAAAUAGGAAGCAAUGGAAGAGUCCUUGGCCUUGGAACCCAGCCAUCAUGCUGUGAGGAAGCCAAAAGCAACCACAUGGAGAGGUCUGGGCUACAACCAGCAUCAACGUCCAUCCAUGCACAUUUGACAAAAAAGAAGAUGAAGAACAUAAGGAGAUGGCUCCUGGACCUGAAGAGGAAGAUGGAGACUGGAAAUACAAAGAUUAUUCAGGUGUAUUGACUAUACAAUAAACAGAUACCUAAAUAUCUCUUCUUGAGAACUUACUGUAGAGCACAGGGAACUCUAUUCAGUGCCUCGUUGUGACCUAAAUGGG